rnacentral:rRNA from 1 species
UACGGGGGGGGCAAGCGUUGUUCGGAAUUACUGGGCGUAAAGGGCUCGUAGGCGGCCAACUAAGUCAGACGUGAAAUCCCUCGGCUUAACCGGGGAACUGCGUCUGAUACUGGAUGGCUAGAGUUUGGGAGAGGGGUGCGGAAUUCCAGGUGUAGCGGUGAAAUGCGUAGAUAUCUGGAGGAACACCGGUGGCGAAGGCGGCAUCCUGGACCAACACUGACGCUGAGGAGCGAAAGCCAGGGGAGCAAACGGG